rnacentral:ncRNA from 1 species
GGGUGUGCCGGUCGUCACCGGCACAGGCAUAUUGGACGGUCGGGCCGCCGUCC